CCUACGGAGGCUGCAGUGGGGAAUAUUGGGCAAUGGAGGCAACUCUGACCCAGCAACGCCGCGUGAGUGAUGAAGGUCUUCGGAUUGUAAAGCUCUUUUCUAAGGGACGAAGAAAGUGACGGUACCCAAAGAAUAAGCCUCGGCUAACUACGUGCCAGCAGCCGCGGUAAUACGUAGGAGGCAAGCGUUGUCCGGAAUGACUGGGCGUAAAGGGUGCGUAGGUGGUUUGACAAGUUGGUAGCGUAACUCCGGGGCUCAACCUCGGCACUACUACCAAAACUGUUGGACUUGAGUGCAGGAGGGGCAAAUGGAAUUCCUAGUGUAGCGGUGGAAUGCGUAGAUAUUAGGAGGAACACCAGUGGCGAAGGCGAUUUGCUGGACUGUAACUGACACUGAGGCACGAAAGCGUGGGGAGCAAACAGGAUUAGAUACCCUAGUAGUCC
rnacentral:rRNA from 1 species